UACGGAGGGUGCAAGCGUUGUUCGGAUUUACUGGGCGUAAAGCGCGCGCAGGUGGGUGAACAAGUCGGAAGUGAAAUCUUGAGGCUCAACCUCGAGGCUGCUCCCGAAACUAUUCGCCUAGGGACUGGUAGAGGCUGGUAGAAUUCCCGGUGUAGCGGUGGAAUGCGUAGAGAUCGGGAAGAAUACCUGUGGCGAAGGCGGCCAGCUGGGCCAGAUCCGACACUGAGGCGCGAAAGCGUGGGGAGCAAACAGG
rnacentral:rRNA from 1 species